rnacentral:rRNA from 1 species
AUUGAACGCUGGCGGCAUGCUUUACACAUGCAAGUCGAACGGUAACAGGGAGCUUGCUCCGCUGACGAGUGGCGAACGGGUGAGUAAUGCGUCGGAACGUGCCGAGUAGUGGGGGAUAACGCAUCGAAAGGUGUGCUAAUACCGCAUACGUACUGAGGUAGAAAGUGGGGGACCUUCGGGCCUCACGCUAUUCGAGCGGCCGACGUCUGAUUAGCUAGUUGGUGAGGUAAAGGCUCACCAAGGCGACGAUCAGUAGCGGGUCAGAGAGGAUGAUCCGCCACACUGGGACUGAGACACGGCCCAGACUCCUACGGGAGGCAGCAGUGGGGAAUUUUGGACAAUGGGCGCAAGCCUGAUCCAGCCAUGCCGCGUGUCUGAAGAAGGCCUUCGGGUUGUAAAGGACUUUUGUCCGGGAGCAAAUGCCUGGUGUUAAUAGCAUCGGGAGCUGAGAGUACCGGAAGAAUAAGCACCGGCUAACUACGUGCCAGCCGCCGCGGUAAAAC